AGAUAGAGCUUUUUAUAAGCAGUGGGGAACUGCUGACCUUCCAAAAGGGAGAGGAAAACCACAAGCAAAUGGCUCCACAGGCACGGAUGAACCUGCAAUUCCCGUGAGCACCCACGGAGGAUGCAUCUGCAUGAAAAAGAUGCCAGGCCUGUGCUAAUGGCUUUUGUAUCCCUUUGCAUGGUUUUCAGGAUGGAAGACGCCAUCUCUGCUUCUUAAAGCCUGCUGGCCUGGCGCUCGCACAAACCGGGGACCCAGGGCCAGGAGCGAGGUGUGACUCCUGGCUCUGCUGGGGAGAAGCCGCUGGGUGACAGAGGAGCCCCCACAGCCACCCUGUGCCACGGGAAGGUGUUGCACAGGUCAGAAGGAGCAAAGAAUUAAAGCCAUAAGGUGGCAUUUCCAGAAGUGCUAGAGGUGUGGCUGGGUGCUGCAGGGGGGUGAGUUUUGAUGCGCUUGGCAAAGUUGCCACCUAACCCAGCGCAGCCUUUGCCAACACAGAGCCUGGUUUCAAAUCCAUGCAAGGGCUUGGAUGUCCUUUCAAAAGUCAGGAGGCAAAGGGCAGAGAAGUAAAUUCACUGAAAAGGAAGUUAAGCUCUCUUCCAUUUGAAAAAUAACCAGAUUUGGGCGAGGACCAGUGAGCGUUUCCCAGGUGAGGCCAGGCACAGGCACAGAAUCCCCUGUGAAGGCUCAGUUACUCGGGAUGCUCCCAAGCACGCCCCUCGCUGUGGCUCGGUGUUCGACCGGCGCUACACGGCCGGCUCUCCUCCUUCCUGCUCUCGCUGCCCAGAGGAAGCUGUAGGAGCUGAGGUUCUCAGGUAUGGAAGAAGCACCAUCAACCCCGCACCACUCCCUGUGGCUCCUCUCCUCCCUCCACCACGCCAAGCUGUGCUGGCACGGGGCCGGGGAGGACGCUGCUUGCUCCAAAGCUGGCACUGAACGUUGGUUGGGAGCAACAGGUUUUGUACUAAUUAAAGAGGAAUCAAUUAGGCUGCAAGAUAUUCAGCCACCUGGUGCUUCUGACUAUUUUUUCCUCCUCCUCUUUUUCCUUAAUGUGCUGCUGCUGCCUCCAGGGAAGUCAUGAAAGAAGCAAGACACGUUCCAGUUUCUUGCUUUCUUUUAGAUUAAAAAAUGCUGUUUGUAAGGAAAUCUGUGCAUGCUGACCAAUUAAAGUGCUGGACGUGUCCCUGAGAUCUGCAGCGAGCAUCUCCUGUGCCAUCCAUCACUCCCUCCAGCCGCCCUCCCGCCUCUCCAUCAGCGUGUGUCGCUGGCAGUUGGCUUGUGCUGCAUGGAGGAAAAGAAAAAAACCCACAGUGAAUAAAGAAAAAGCAGCAAAGGAGGUGUAAUGGGAUCCCGUGGGAGGCACAAAGGAGUCCAACACACGAGGAAGCCCUUUGGAGACCCGGCUGCGCCAGGCUUUCCCCUGCGAGGCGGUCCAUUAGACUCUCUCUGUGCUCAACAGCACAUAAAUCAAGAGGAGCGGAGAGAGGCGGCUGCGCGCCCCGGGCACCCCCCGGGGCUUGCCGAGCGCUGACCUUGAAGAAAAUGGUGGGGUCAGCAGGGAGCCCCGUGGCAAGUACCGCAAGCCAUGCGGGUGAAAAUCGGACGCUGGCGUGGUGGCGAGCUGCAGGGGAGCAGCUGUGGAGAGCUCUGCCUGGGGCUGCAUGGGAUUCCUUUUACCCUCGGGCUGAUGCUUUUCCCACCCACGGCUCUGCCCUGGGGAGGGAUUGUGAAAUCUCUUUGAUUUGUCUGAGUGCACGAUAAAGCCCUCUUGCAGAUAAAUCAUCUUUAAUAUUAAAGAUGAAGGAAUAGCAAAGGGCAAAAAGGGGAACCUGGGCUUGGAUGGUGAUAUAAAGGUCACAGAAGAGAGUAUUAAUGUCGUGUCGCCUGACGCGUAUUAGGAAGCUCCUUGAAUUCUGGCAUUAGAGAGGAUUCAUCAGUUUAACUGAUUCACUCUCUGGGAACUGCUGCAUCAGGUGCACUAACUCAGAGCAGUGACAGUAACCCCCUUCUCCUUGCUGGUCCCCCUCCAAGAACAAGCUCAGAGGGGUGCUGGGCAGCUCGAGGUCUGUCCGGGGUCCCCAUCUGACACCCUGCAGUGGUGCUUGGGCCAUUAACAAAGAGAUCACAGCUCGGUAAAGGAGAGGCUGACGAGUUGGAGCCACAUCAAGGAGAAAUGCCGGCACCCGAAGCACGCUUUGUUGCGGUGGGAGCCGCCGGUCUUCCCACAGCCCCCCUCCAAGCCGGAGGAGCCCCUGGCCAUCAUGGCACAAGGCUGGAGGUGACCACUGCAGGGUAGGUCUUGCCAAGCAGACACUGUGAUGGCUAUAAAAACACGAUGGAUGAGCCCAUUAACAUCCAAGAGCUAAAGGUGAAGGCUGUGCUCACGUGGCAUCCCCUGCCACGCGGGUGGCUGCGCCGCAGUCUGCCUUCUCCUGCCUAUUUUCAAGGGUACUUUUUGUAACAGCCGGAAUAAAACUCUGCUGCUUCCCACUGCUGCAGCUGCCGUGGGAGUCACCGCGCCGGCUCCUUCACCUGCUGCAGCUGUGUCAGCCCCACCUGCCUUUCCCUGCCGGCUCCACGGCGGCUCAGAGCCAAGGAUGAAGGCUGUGGGAGCACGCCGUCGCAUCCCUGGAGCACGCUGACGCCUGAGGGGGAUAAGCAUUGCAUGGACAGAGGUGCCAGGAGAUGUGGCAGAGUCCUCCCUUCUCCUCUGCUCGGCACUAGGAGCUCUCACGAUGAGUAAUUGCUGCUGAUGUCUCGGGAGCACAGACAUGGCAGCUGCUGGGGCUGCAUCAAAGCUCAGGUUCACUUCUUUGCUAAGCAGUGAGGAGCCUUGAAAGAAAAAGCUUGUACAAUGCCUUGGAGAGCUCUUCUGCUUCCCCAGCCAGGAACCAGCCCCUCAGGAGCAGGAGAGGGCAAAGCAGGUGAAAAAAAAUCACUUUCUGGAAACCAGCGCCUUUCUGUGGUGUCCCAACCGAAGCCCCAGGCUCAGGAUGGGGCAGAAUCUCCGGUGCAUUACCUGCACUAUGCUUAUAGCUACAAUAAAAAUCUACUGGAAGAAGAUAAAAGGGUUUUUUUCCCCUCCAAGGGGAAGCGAAGGUACUGGAGUUAUGGAGAUUUGCCAUGCUGGUUCCCAGCUGUGCAUCUGCAGCCAGACAAGAGAAAGAGCAACGUUUGGGAGGACGUGGGAACCGACUGGGCCCAGUUCCUCACUCCACAUACGAGAAGCCUGGAGCGCUUGAUGGACACUUCUGCAAGAAGGCCAAAACCUAAUUGAACCUCUUGCCUCGGCAGUGUGAAAGCAGAGCUUGCCCCUGGGGUAGAGGGGAGCAGGCACCGGCAAGGCUAAUAACGCACCACUGCUCGCAGGGCUGCCUUCCAUUAAAAAAUGCAGUCAGCUGAUUUAGGAGAGUAACAAAAUGUCCCCUUUGCAAUCAAGCCAUGAGCUUUUAUCUCUCUUGUAGGAACAGGCUGCCUUCAAGAGCGAGGAAGUGAUAUUUUAGAAUGUCUAAUAAAGCAGU